UAAGGAAUAUUGGUCAAUGGACGCAAGUCUGAACCAGCCAUGCCGCGUGGAGGAUUAAGGCCCUCUGGGUUGUAAACUCCUUUUAUCUGGGAAGAAAUGUACUUUUUCUUGAGUACUUGACGGUACCAGAGGAAUAAGCACCGGCUAACUCCGUGCCAGCAGCCGCGGUAAUACGGAGGGUGCAAGCGUUAUCCGGAUUCACUGGGUUUAAAGGGUGCGUAGGUGGGCAGGUAAGUCAGUGGUGAAAUCUCCGGGCUUAACCCGGAAACUGCCGUUGAUACUAUUUGUCUUGAAUAUUGUGGAGGUAAGCGGAAUAUGUCAUGUAGCGGUGAAAUGCUUAUAUAUGACAUAGAACACCAAUUGCGAAGGCAGCUUACUACACAAUCAUUGACGCUGAGGCACGAAAGCGUGGGGAUCAAAC
rnacentral:rRNA from 1 species